rnacentral:rRNA from 1 species
GAGUUUGAUCCUGGCUCAGGAUGAACGCUGGCGGCGUGCUUAACACAUGCAAGUCGAACGGAAAGGCUCAAGCUUGCUUGGGUACUCGAGUGGCGAACGGGUGAGUAACACGGGGGUGAUCUGCCCUGCACUUUGGGAUAAGCCUGGGAAACUGGGUCUAAUACCGGAUAGGACCAUCGUUUAGUGUCGGUGGUGGAAAGUUUUUCGGGGUGGGAUGAGCUCGCGGCCUAUCAACUUGUUGGUGGGGUAAUGGCCUACCAAGGCGUCGACGGGUAGCCGGACUGAGAGGGUGUACGGCCACAUUGGGACUGAGAUACGGGCCAGACUCCUACGGGAGGCAGCAGUGGGGAAUAUUGCACAAUGGGCGCAAGCCUGAUGCAGCGACGCCGCGUGGGGGAUGACGGCCUUCGGGUUGUAAACUCCUUUCGCCAAGGACGAAGAGGAAUUGACGGUACUUGGAUAAGAAGCACCGGCUAACUACGUGCCAGCAGCCGCGGUAAUACGUAGGGUGCGAGCGUUGUCCGGAAUUACUGGGCGUAAAGAGCUCGUAGGUGGUUUGUCGCGUCGUUUGUGGAAUACCGCAGCUUAACUGUGGGGUUGCAGGCGAUACGGGCAUAACUUGAGUGCUGUAGGGGAGACUGGAAUUCCUGGUGUAGCGGUGAAGUGCACAGAUAUCAAGAGGCACACCGAUGGCGAAAGCAGGUCUCUGGGCAGUAACUGACGCUGAGGAGCGGAAGCAUGGGUAGCGAACACGAUUAGAUACCCUGGUAGUCCAUGCCGUAAACGGUGAGCGCUAGCUGUGAGUCUCUUCCACGGGGUUCGUGCCGUAGCUAACGCAUUGAGCGUCACGCCUGGGGAGUACGGC